GACGAACGCUGGCGGCGCGCCUAACACAUGCAAGUCGAACGAGCGAGAGAGAGCUUGCUUUCUCGAGCGAGUGGCGAACGGGUGAGUAACGCGUGAGGAACCUGCCUCAAAGAGGGGGACAACAGUUGGAAACGACUGCUAAUACCGCAUAAGCCCACGACCCGGCAUCGGGUAGAGGGAAAAGGAGCAAUCCGCUUUGAGAUGGCCUCGCGUCCGAUUAGCUAGUUGGUGAGGUAACGGCCCACCAAGGCGACGAUCGGUAGCCGGACUGAGAGGUUGAACGGCCACAUUGGGACUGAGACACGGCCCAGACUCCUACGGGAGGCAGCAGUGGGGAAUAUUGCACAAUGGGGGAAACCCUGAUGCAGCGACGCCGCGUGGAGGAAGAAGGUCUUCGGAUUGUAAACUCCUGUUGCUGAGGAAGAUAAUGACGGUACUCAACAAGGAAGUGACGGCUAACUACGUG
rnacentral:rRNA from 1 species